rnacentral:misc_RNA from 1 species
GAUGAAGAACGCAGCGAAAUGCGAUAAGUAAUGUGAAUUGCAGAAUUCAGUGAAUCAUCGAAUCUUUGAACGCACAUUGCGCCCGUUAGCAUUCUAGCGGGCAUGCCUGUCCGAGCGUCAUUUCAACCCACAGGGUCCCCGUUCCGGCGGGGAACCUGGUGUUGGGGAUCGGCCCGCCCCGUGCGGCGCCGUCCCCCAAAUUCAGUGGCGGUCUCGCUGCAGCCUCCCCUGCGUAGUAGUUACAACCUCGCAUCGGAGCUCAGCGCGGCCACGCCGUAAAACCCACGACUUUCUGAACGUUGACCUCGGAUCAGGUAGGAAUACCCGCUGAACUUAAGCAUAUCAAUAAGCGGAGGA